UGUUUGCUGUGAUGAAUUACAAGGACAGUAUCUACAUAUGGUGGCUCUUAAAGAGGCCUCCUUCCUUGAUACACAUCCUAAACUGAUCAUAUAUUCUGAGCAAACA